rnacentral:rRNA from 1 species
GACGAACGCUGGCGGCGUGCUUAACACAUGCAAGUCGAGCGGUAAGGCCCUUUCGGGGGUACACGAGCGGCGAACGGGUGAGUAACACGUGGGUGACCUGCCCUCAGCUCUGGGAUAAGCCUGGGAAACCGGGUCUAAUACCGGAUAUGACUCCAUGACGCAUGUUGUGGGGUGGAAAGCCUUGUGCGGCUGAGGAUGGGCCCGCGGCCUAUCAGCUUGUUGGUGGGGUGAUGGCCUACCAAGGCGACGACGGGUAGCCGGCCUGAGAGGGCGACCGGCCACACUGGGACUGAGACACGGCCCAGACUCCUACGGGAGGCAGCAGUGGGGAAUCUUGCGCAAUGGGCGAAAGUCUGACGCAGCGACGCCGCGUGAGGGAUGACGGCCU